UCUGGGUCACGCCCUCCUGGAGAAGAAAGUAAGUGUGGCCCAGUGGCUCGUGUCACUUCUCUAAGUUUUUUUCUUCCUUGUACAAAAUUUAAGUUGAUAAUAGCAAUAUUACAUUGCAAUGUGUUCUAAUAUCAAAGUAAAUUGUUUUCAGGUGAGUAAAAAGAAAAAAGCCACCCGUCCUCCCCACUACCUAGCAGUGACUUCAAUUUGUCAGGUAUUACCUAUCACUGUUUUUUCAGCCCAAAUGUUUUUUACACAGUUGAGUUUAUUUGGGGAAAAUCAUCUUGUACCCUGCUUUUUCAUAAAUAUGCAUAGGAUGUAAUCGUUGUUAAAAUCUUAGCAACAGAGAAGGCUUUUGAAGACCUGAAUGUAAAUCUUGUUUUGUAGUGAAUUGAAGAGACAGAGAUGAAGCAGACGCAGCACGUGAAGACAAUUCUUUCAAGAAGUUUGGCUGUAAAGGAAAAGAUAAAGUUGUUCCAGACUCAUCGUCAACAUUUCCUGCAGCAGACCUGGAAUCAGCCACUUCUCCAAGGAACACUGGUUCUUUUCAAUGGGAAAUGGUAUUUUAGAGGCCACAAUCUGCACAAACAAGGAAAAGCUAAACCUCUGGGUGUGAAACUAAACAUCACGAAGAGAUGUAUGCAAGGAGAAGACAGCAGAUACCAGAGGCUCAAAGAUGUCGUGUGAAUAGAGGGCACAUGCCUUUAACCCUCACUUUGUUCUUACCAUCGUCAGAAUCCCAGGCGGGAAAGAGCACAUGGGCCAAGAUUGUGUAACCAGCCCUAUAGCACAGCUUCCCUUUAAAGGAAUCAAGCAACUCACCAAUGUGUUCCUCUUCCACCUCCUCAAGCCCACUUGCCUGGCUGGCUGUCAAGGUUGGGCCUCCAAGCCAUCAACCCAUGGAGAGUGGAAAAAACCACCCUACUAACGCUAACAUUUCAUCCAACCACAUUUCCCCACUUAUACUACAUGUCUACUCUUUCCUUUGCUCAUUCUCUCUUACCCUUCACCCCUCCUUCCCGUGGCCACUUCACUGAUCAUCCACGAGUACUUCAACAAGUCCUUCGUAGUCCUCUCCUUCCCCAGCCUGACAGAGGCUGCAUGGCAUAUUAGAAACAGCACGGGCUUUGGACUAUGAAAGGGUAGGUUUGACUCUUGGCUCUGUAUGAAUGAGCUUUAUGACCUCGAACACAUUAUCAUGAGACUUCUAGGCCUUAGUUUCCUCAUCUGUAAAUGGGGGAAAUAACAUCUACUUUGUAGAGUUGUAGGAUUAAUAAUGAUGGUGUCAGUGUCUGACACAUUAGUAGCUCAGUAAAUAAUAACUAAUACAUAAAAACCCCAUGUAAGGAAAGCCACAAAUAUCUUUAUUCCUUGUUUUCUAUCCACCUUCUAAUCUGUGCUUCCUCACUUUUAAAAAUAAAUGAUUUUAGGGGCGCCUGGGUGGCGCAGUCGGUUAAGCGUCCGACUUCAGCCAGGUCACGAUCUCGCGGUCCGUGAGUUCGAGCCCCGCAUCAGGCUC